CAGAUUCCUCUGUCGUCAGAGUCCAAGGAAGAAACGGCGUUCUCCACUCCGUAUGGGUUACACCAAUUUACCACGCUUCCCUUUGGCUUGUUUGAUGCCCCGGCCACCUUCCAACGUCUCAUGGAUUGGGUGCUGCGUCCGCACGCUGCACAUGCUGCCGCCUACUUGGAUGAUGUCAUUAUCCACAGCACCACCUGGGCGGGGCAUGUGCGGCGGGUGGGCGCAGUGCUGGAGUCACUGAGACAGGCUGGGCUCACCGCCAACCCGGGGAAGUGUGCAGUUGGACGGAUAGAGGCAGUUCCAUCCCCAGCUUUGCGGACCUCACCAG
ensembl:lncRNA